CAGCUUGGCUCCUGGUCUGUGGGAGGAAGUCGGAGGCAGUAACAGAAGUGAAGUUUGGGGACUGUUUGCUCAUUUACACAUUGUCUCAGACUCCCCAAUUACAUACCUAAUUAAGAGUUGGACAAUUAAGCAAACAGUUUAAAUGUAUGAUCAGGGAGUUUGGGAUUAACACCCGGUACAAGAAAGAGGCACAUCUGAGCCUUGGAAGAAAGUAUAGAAAGGACCGUUCCCCCCUGCCGUUUCUUUCAGAGCUCAAACCGAGACUGCUUUUCCAUGGAGACCUCUGUUACCUUCUAGAAAUGUCUUCCAGUAACCCAUAAAGUCCAUGUCCUUAAAUGUCAGAUAUGGAAGCGAUAAGAACUAGAGUGGAAAGGGCUGGAGAGAUGGCUUAGCGGUUAAGAGCACUGACUGCUCUUCCAGAGGUCCUGAGUUCAAUCCCAGCACCCACAUGGUGGCUCACAACCAUCUGUAAUGGGAUCAGAAGGCCUCUUCAGGUGUGUCUGAAGACUACUACAGUGUACUCACAUACAUAAAAUAAAUAAAUAAAUCUAAAACAAAAAGAAAGAAAACACUAGAGUAGAGAAAGGGACACAGCUGUUCAUGUUUGGUCCAGUGCUGGCCAGACCUGCAGGUGCCAGCUUAUCUUUUCUCUCUAUCCCAAUCCUGGUUCUUUUACUCACCCCGAGAAGCCAUGAAAGGAUUGUUGGUGCUUAUAUGUUCACAGGUCCUUGAGAAGGAAAGUGUGUGAUGCGCAUGUGCAUGCAGGUUGAUGUGUGUGGUGCGCAUGUCCAUGCUGGUCAAUGAUGGGUGUGGUGCGCAUGUGUAUGCAAGUCGAUGUUGGCUGUCUUUCUCAGUUGCCUUCGGCUUUACUUCUUGAGAUAGAUCGCUCUAGUAGCUCAUCAGUUUGACUUGGUUGGCUGGCUGAUGAACUCCAGGGAUCCACCUUCCUAGUGCUGGGAUUACAGACGUGUAGCCGUGCCUGCCUUCUUACGCGGAUGCUGAGGAUCCUAACUCAGAGCCUCACGCUUUUGGAGGAGGCACCUUGUUGGCCGAACCAUCUCCUCAGCUCUAAGGGGUGGUGUCACUAUGACUCCUCAGAUGCUGGUUACAGCCCUCUGCUCUUUGGCCUAGGAAGAUGCUAGGUGGAUAUAUAUCUGGCCAACCAAAGCCCUGGUACGACUUUAUCACAGACACUAAAUGGUUUUUGGUAAUCACUGAAAAUCAGAUUCUUGCUCUUGUUUACCAGGUGUUUCAGAAUUACCAGCUCACAAAACAAAAGAGGUGAGAGGGGAACUGACUUGCUCCGUGUAAAGGGCCCGUGGCAGCACUGGGUGAAAACGAGGUAACCUGUUGGCCAGGAUGAGGAAAUUCAGUCUCAGGGUUUUUGUGAGAGCCAGGAAAGUCACUGACUCCAGAUGCUAAGGGUAAUUGGAGAACAUGCUCAGGAGUCACCCGGGGGAAGCUGUAUGGUCAACUUCUCUCGUUCUUACUUCCAGUUAGAUGUAUCCUUGCAUCUCCAUGGCAACCCAGGAGCUUCAUCAGUUUCAUUGAAUCCUUGCUUGGGGAGAUCUUGAGGUACCAGAUGGGCUAGUGGGGUGCCAUCUCCUGAGUGUUCCAGAACCUUCCAAAACAGCAUCACAACGAUGGGUCCCAGCCACUGAGUUACAUAUCCCUGGAGUUGUUCCCCUCCUGUGAUCCUGCAUCUGCAUCUGGAGCACUCCAGUCACGGUCAUGCCCCUGCCACAGCUCUCUGGCAGGGAAACCAAGGUACAUGGCACCGUUUAGUGGAAGUGCCUCAGACUUCGUGUUUUCAGUGUGAAUUUACUAGAAAGCAGGGGAUGUUUGCCCUUGACGUGUCAGUGCCUUCACAUCCCGAAUUCUGUGAUGGUUCUCAAAUAAUGUGGGGAGGGGUAGGUGUGAAAAAUCAAUGGUUCACAAAAGAUAUGGGGAUGGAAUGGGAAAUGGGACUAACUUUUAAUCUGAUCCUUCUCCUGCUUAACUUGUGGGCUUUGUCUUUCUCUAAGUGAGGACUAGAGUCUCAUGAUCUGAUGGGUGAUGUGUGUGUGUGUGUGUGUGUGUGUGUGUGUGUGUGUUGGGGGGUAGGGGUGGAGGUGGUAGCUUAAAACUCUUUUAGGCUGCUCAGGGUUGCCAUAUGACCCUCAUAUGUCCUUUUGGGCAUCUUCUCAGGUGCCUGGGAUUUCUCUGUUCCUCUAGGCAUUCCUGACUGAGUGAUGUCCAGUUAUCCAAGUAGAGUAAGUUCUUCCAUACUUGGAAUUAAGUAGGGGUGUGGGGGCUUUUCUCUAGAUCACCAUCUUUAGAAGGCAGGCACUUUGCUUUGCCUCAUACUUUUAAUAACUAAGCAUGAGACACAGUGGCAAUGUUCAGGAGAAUCCUCUGACUGUCUCUGAGAAGGACACGCUGGCUAUCCUGAGGACUGGACAACUUAUUUAAGGUGUGGUCCCUGGUGAAGGAAGGCAUGUUGCUGGAGGUCUUUGUAUGCAUGCGGAAGCUGCUUUUUUCUUGGCUCUGCAGGGACCUGGGGCAGUGUGCACCAACCUGUAAAGGGAUGCUGUAGACUUACAAGGCAGAAAGAGCUGACAAGAGGGUCACCCUGAUCCCAGAGGCACGAGAUGCAUGCCUGCAUGUUCUCUGUCCUUGGUGAUCUGAGAGUCAGCAAGCCAGUUCUGCAGAAGAGAUGGACAUUCUGACACCAUAGGCUUGACUUUGUCAUUAGUUAAAGAGGCCUCUGUUUUUUAAUGUUUCCAUGUAUAUGAAGAACUAUAAUGGGGAACUAUUUUGGAAAACCAUGAGGUACAAUUAGGGUUUGCUUUCAGCCUCAUUCACUAAUUCGACAAAUGUGGGUUGUGUCUCCAUGUAACAGGGGCUGUUGCUAUAGUGAGCCACACUAUGAGCCAGUGCGGGACAGCAAAAGACCUGGAGUUUUAUUAUUUCCUGCUCAAACAAACAAUGGUGCUCCUUGUCUUAUAUCUUCUCCAUCUUACUGGCCACCAUAUCACCACUGAGCAGUGGUUCUCAUAGGUGUGAAUUCCUGAGGCCUGGAACAACCGCCCACUAUUUCCUAACCUCGGGACUCCAUGAAAACCACAAGCCAGAGACUUCCCGCCCAUGGUCCUCAGGUGCCUUGACUUUCAUGGGAGUGUCACAAGAUCUACCAUAGGACUGUUGACCUUCAAGAGAAAAUGGAUGUGGAGCAACUGAUGUGCCCCAGGAAGCUCAUGAUGGCUGUUUGUUCUGAAACAUCCCUCUAGGAAGGCAGUGUGUGUCCUUUCUGACUAAGUUGACACAACUUUUGGGUGCUGUAUAUGCAUGUGUGUGUGUAGGUGCACAUAUGUGCUCAUGGGUGUGGAAGUCACAGAACAACCUCAGGGUCAUUGCUUGGGAGCUAUCUUGUUUUCUGAGACUCUCACUAGCUUAAGACUUAGCAAGCAGGCUAGCCUGGCUGGCUAGAGCGCUCCCUCCCCAAACCCACAGGCUCUGCUAGGAUUAGAAGCACACUCCAGCAUGCCAAAUUUUGCAUUAGUUUAUUUAUUAUUUUAAUGUGGCUUCUAGAAAUUAAACUCGUGUCCUCAUGCCUGUAGGUGCUUUAGCUACUGAGACAUCACCAGCUUCAGGGGACAGAGGUUUUUAGAUCACAGACUUUUUUCCUGUGGUAUUCCCACAUAGCAGAGGGGGUACAGAAUCAGCACUUCAUGGCCUGGAAGGUGCAAAUGUUCAUAACAGUGGUCCCAUCCAUCUCAGGAAAAUGGUCCUGAAACCACCUGUGAGUUUUUGUCUCCUGGGGCCUUAGGUCCCCCUUGGCUCGUGAAUGUUUAAAUCCCUUUGAUCAUUCCCUGAUUCCUGACUAACUAUACUCUUGCCAUUUCUCAUAGAGUUGAGACAGGGAGGGUGUCUCCAACACAGAUGAAGGGAAGAUCAUAGCCCCCGAAGGUGUGAGUUCUAAUCACCUGGCUCUCCUUUGGACAACAGUAGGAACUGUUUUACAAUUGCCAAGUGUGUGUGUGUUUUUUUUUUUUUUUUUUUUUUUUUUAUCCUAGGCUGACUUUGAGCUUGCUAUGUGGCCAGAGAUGACCUUGCACUUCGGAUCCUCCUGCCUCCACCCGUGGAAUGCUGGGAUUACAUGCAUAUGGCACUACAUUUCAGUAUAUGUGCUGCUGGGGGUGGAAUCCAAGUGUUUCGUGUAGCUUUUGCUACUCCACUUUAAGCUCCAGGAACAGGCUGUGCUACCAUCCCCUGCCCAGAGAAUAUUGGAUCUGUGGAUGAAGAACACAGACACACACAGACACACAGACACACACACACACAGAGACACACACAGACACACACAGACACACACAGACACACACACACAGACACACACACACACACACACACACACACACACACACACUGCUCAAUUUCAACCUGCCUUAUUGGCUCAAUUGCUGGGCACUACUAAUCUCCCGUGGCUAGUGUGCCCUUCCCAAUCAAUACUCUUAGCUCAAUACUCUUACCUUUCAACCUGCCCUCAGCUUCAGUUGCUCAGUUACCUUAGUCCCAGUUCAACACCCUAACUUCUCUCCUGGAGAAGCAGCCUAUGGCUACUCUGCCCAAGAUCUUACAUGGCUGGCCACCUUUUGUCCCCCCUCCCCCCUAAGCAUGUCAAAAAACUCCUUUCCUCACCUGUGUCUCCUUGCCUCUUUCCUUCCACCCAGCAAUUGGCCCCUGACAUCUUUACUGAUAGAUCAAGAACCAGUUGGAGAACAAGACCUUAACAUCAAUACCACCCCCUACAGCCUAGAGUUUAUGAAUGUACAGGCAACCCGUCUACAGACUGAGCUAUGGCCCCAGCUGAGCUAUCAAUGGUCUCUCAGCUAGUUCUUGGUGCCUUAUGCGUGUCCACUCAUCACAUGGACUGUCAACCUCUUGAGGUAGCAUCUGUUCUGUCCUCUUUAGAGGUGAGCAAAUAAAGAUGUAGUCAAGAAUACAACGGGCUUCAAGUAGCCAAGCUGGUUUUGUGGAGGUCAGCAUUUACACUCAUCUCAUACCAUGGUUCUUGCUUUCUUUCCCAUGAAUACUUGAGGCCUCAGAAGGCACGGGGCGGCGGGGGGUGGGGUGGCAGGGGGCAAAGAGUGUCUCAGUGUCCCUUGACUCUUGUUUGAAGCUCAUCCCCACAGCAGAUGAGCCAUGAGCACAUAAUUUGUCCUCUUUAAACCUGGAUCCCUGUGAUUACUGGGGUUCUUUAAGAGAACAUCUGAUCAAAUAGAUCUAUCUAUCUAUCUAUCUAUCUAUCUAUCUAUCUACAUAUAUAUGUAUCUACACACACAUGUAGAGGGGACUUCACACACACACACACACACACACACACACACACACACGUAGAGGGGACUUAUUAGAUAGGCUUACAUUCUAUGGUUCAGGCACUCCAUCAACAAUGGUCUCACAAUGGAAAGGCCAAUGACUAGGUAGUUUUUUCAGUCCACCAGACUAAAUGUCUCAGCAGUCCCCAAACUGGUGCUGAAAUCCUGUAGGAAUCACAAAGAGCUGCUCGUCUUUAGUCUACACUGGAAUCCUGAAGAAGUAGUUUCUCAUAUCAGCAGAGGAAUGUCUUAGAAACAGGGUGGAUAAGCUUGGAGGCAAAAAGCAAAAGCUUCCUUCUUUCAUGUCCUUUUAUGUAUGAGCUGCUACCGGGAAGCGUGGCUCAGAUUUAGUGAGGGUCUGGCCACCUCUAAUGAUCAAUCAAGAAAAAUCCUCCACAGGCAUGCUCAGCGGCCUGGAGAUUAGUGGAUUCCAGAUGUAGUCCAGGUGACAGCCAAGAUUAGCCUGAACAAACCUUUCACUGGAAAAAAUAAUGCACAGAAUAACUGCCCAGUGUUGUGUAUGGUUAGUUUCCAUUGUAGAUGGAUUUGCUUAUUUGCAUGAGAUCCAUCUACAGGGAGAAGAACCCCAGAAAUCAUUUCAAUGGCACAAAAGCCACAGAACUAACAAGUCUGUACUGAGAGGGGAGCUGCCUACCGAGAGUCCACCUCCCCAUCCUAGGCCAGCAUGCACUGUUCCUUUAAGAGCCACCAUGAAUGUUGUGUUUUCAGGUGACAGCCUCUCCAUGUUUUCCCAGCAAAGUUAAUGAAAUGUCGCUGGUGCUCUUCCUGAACCUCCCAUCGUCUCUCACACAGCCAGGCUGGCAGGUCCACGUGCUCCCCACCGAUCUAUUUUUAUACCACCACAUAAUAAUUCAUCCUCCUAAAUAUAUCCAUCAUCCUGGAUUUGCAUUUUUUUAUUAAGUCGCCUGCUUGCCUCCCAUCGUUUAAUCAGUGUUGACUUGACUCAGAGAGCAGCCUGACAAGAUGUGGAUCCAAGUCUAGCCUCUGGCAGUUUGCUCUGUAACUUGGGGUGAUCUUCUCCUAUUAGUGCAGGUCUUAGCACACUCAUUUAUAAAAUGUGGGUGGGGGCCUACAGGGAAGAAUGGUUGUGUGACUCAUGAGAGAACUCUCCUUGUCAGGGAUUACCACUGUCAAGGGUCCAUCUUUCUAUGGACUCUGUGUGUGUGUGUGUGUGUGUGUGUGUGUGUGUGUGUGUGUGUGUGUGAAGAGGUCAGAGGUCAACCUGGAGUGUCAUUCUGGGGACUAGAACUUGAGUCCUCAUGCUUGCAUUCUGAGCACUUUACCAACUGAGCCAUUUUCCCAGUCCAGUACCCGUGGGAUAACUGAGCAGCCUCAGACAAAGCAGGAAUUCAAGCUCAAAGACUGAAACAGAUCAACCCUUCCCAGCCCUUCCUUGAUGUAUGGCCUUGGACCUAGGGUUUAAUCUACUUGCACCUCAAUUAGAGAAGAGACAGCUGUGUACUACGAAUAAUAAUUAUAUGCCCAGCCCUAGGCUAGGUGCAUCCCUCAGUGGUUUCCAGCUGGUGGUGAUGCUGCCUCCAGGGAAAUUUUUUUUAUUGGUACAACUGAGGCAAUGAGGUGUGAGUACUGUUGUCAUGAGGGGUGCUGUGAAACUCCUCACAGUAUAUCCAAUAUCCCAGGUACCAUAGACUUAGCCAGCCUAAAGUAUCAACAGAGCUGAGGUAGGGAAAUUCUCACUGAAUCACACAAUGCAAAUGGAUUCUUAAAACAGUUAUCAGCACCUGAGUGUCACUGAAUGUAGCUGGUGAUGUCUGGACACAAUAACAGACCACUCUGCUGUAACUCACAGCAUGGGGACAGUAUAGCUGAUGUCAUUUCUUCUCUGAGUCCCCUCAUUCUUGCUUAGGUACAGCUCUACCACACACCUGACCUCAAGUGUCAUAGCCUGGCCUUGAUCGCCUAACUGGCAGCUCCUUGCAUGCAAAGCAUGUACCUGGCUCCUCUUUCUCUCUCUUUCAUGCUUUCCUGCUGUAGCCACACAAGGGACAUGCUCUGUCACCCUCAGGGAAAUUAGUCCUACCCAAGAGCUGGCUGACAGCUUGGCUUCUAAGUGUGGUUAUGGAGUGGUGGAAAUACAUAGUUAUAGGAGCCCAGCAUUCAAGGAGGGUGGGGCUCUAGUAAGAGGCACUGAGGAGUGAGGGGGUAAUGAGCCCUCUAGUCAGAGCUCCAACCCUCACAGAUCACACUGAAAAUAAAAGAGCGACCAUCUCUGAGUCAGAUCAUGUGAGGGUGACUAUUUUCAGAGCCUCUGAAGGCCAUCCCCAAAUAUCUGCAAGAGCCUGCAGGCAUCCUGUUGCCUCUGGGAGAAAACAGAAAUCCAACUAGAUACAGUUAAAAACUGGAGUCCAGUUUGCAAACAUGUCUUAAGGAGCAUUAUGUCCUAGCAGAGCACUUGAUACAUCAGCAUUGCUUUGUAAGAGGCAAAUGUCCAAAGCAAAGUUUUCCCACCCACCUCCUUUACACUCAAAACUGAUUGCAAAUGAGAACCCUGUUCUUAUCCCCUGGAACCCAGAUGUACCUUGAUUUAUGAACAUUUAAACUCCACUGCCCUGUGGUCUCGUGUUUGUAUUGGAUUCAUGGCUGUGCCUUCCCCAGUUUGCAUGGAGGUAUGGUGAGGAACCAACAAAGUUGCACAGGGUGGAGCUCAUCCAAACCUUCCUUUCAUAAUAGUAGUAACCAUAAUGGUGGCUGGGCUAAUGGCAUCUACCAUGGACAGAACUUUUAUUAGCUACUUAGUGGGCUUCCCACCUUAGCUACCUAUACCUACCUAUCCUUUGACAUUGGAGCUGACUGUCCCCACCUUACAGAUGAGCAAAGCAAGGCAAGUUAAGUAGCAUGCUUCAGGUAACAUGACCAGUGUGUGUUGGGUCCUGGAUGUAAACCUACUGAUUUCUGUCCCUCCCACCCAGGCCCUGUACCUUUACAGAUACACCCUACGCCUCCAAAGGCAUGGGGAAACAGCCUGACUUAGCCAUCCUAGACUCAUAUCUGAAGUUCACACUUACACAAGUGUUGGGACUGUGGUCUCAUUACCUUGCCCCUUUAAGCCUGGUCUGCUUGCUGGUAAAAGGAAAAAAGGGGGCAGGUGUGUGCAUGACUCCAGGAUACACAUCUCCCGAUGCACAGAGGUUUCUGUCCUUCCAUGGGAUUUGACCUGCAGAGAAUGAAAUAGCACAUCCCAAUGUCAUGGCUUCCGAAAAGCACAGCCCUGUGUCCACAGUGUAUUGAAUAAUGAGAGGAUGCCUUCACUCACUGGUCUCUUUCCACACUGCUCUAGCAAAGGAGUCAGACCCAAAUUAAUAAGCUGUAGAUCCUUAAUAACUCAAUCACUUCAUCAGACAGGAAAGCAAGGACACACCCAUGUGCAUCUAUCCGCACAAAGAAAGGGUGGGGUGGUUUCUUCUGAUCUUUAACUGGGACUCCUAUUAUUGUGACAGACCCAGGGAUGUCAUAGAAAGAACAUUGUCAUCUUAGGCCUGAUCAUCAAACUGGUUAAGACCUUCAUCUCCCAUCUCCAAUCUCCCCCCUCCCUCCCCAGUGCUUCCUGUUGAUCUCUUAUGGGCUUCCCCCUAGAGCUGUGUCCACAAGCAUUCUCAAUCAAAGCUCUGUGGAGCCAAUUUGGGUUGGGAGAGGGCAGUAGGAAACAACAGUAGCAGAGUGCAAACAACCUGGAAUCUGGAAUGGAGUGAGUUAAUUGGAGCUUAGGGCCCUUCAGCUCUCUGAGCCUACAGUUCCUUCUGCUAUGGAAGUCAGAUGCGAUAAUGUCUGUUUGAGUAUGUCAUCAAGUGUGAACAGAAAAGAGAUGUUAGCCAGUACCUCAUCCAACAGGUGAAAGAUCCUCAUGAAAAUUGAGAUCAUGUUUUUGGCUCUUGUUUCGCUUUGCUUUGUCUUUAUUUCUUGGAGCCCUAUUGCUCUCUAGAUGGUCCAUAGGGCUACUUCCCCAUGUAGCAUCUUUACAUUACCACAUUAUGAAUUUAAAACGGGAGUCAUGUUGACUUACAGAAAAAAAAAAUAAAGCUGAACAGAGAUGUAUUUCUCCUUUUUCCCUCGCAGUCCUGACCUCUGCUUUCUUAAAUCCCCAUUUCGUUAUGCUGUUUUCACUCGGCAGUUUGAAAGAACUAGAGAAUACAUGAAUCAACUUGACACGAAUAACACAACUACUUACACAGAAGAUACAGGAUGCAAGUAAGUGCAGGGGCUCCGUGCUUUCUGAUUUGGGCAUGCCUGUGGGCUUUUCAGGGUACAGAGUGCUGAAUAAAGAUGGCAGGCAGGGUGGGACACACACGGGUGCAGGAGGUGCUGCAGAGUUAUGGCUGCAAAGAGGAUGCUCAGUAGCCGCUGCAACCCCACAUGCAGAACACAAGGGGGAGAGGCAGCUCCACUCAGAGCAGUGGAAGCUGACUCCACACCUCCUCUCCGCUACACACAAUGCUGGCUCACCUAUGGCCAAGGUGGUACUAAUAAAGUUUUUGUUGAAAACCUGC